CCUACGGGGGGCAGCAGUGGGGAAUAUUGGACAAUGGGGGCAACCCUGAUCCAGCCAUGCCGCGUGUGUGAAGAAGGCCCUCGGGUUGUAAAGCACUUUCAGUGAGGAAGAACGCCUGGUGGUUAAUACCCAUCAGGAAAGACAUCACUCACAGAAGAAGCACCGGCUAACUCCGUGCCAGCAGCCGCGGUAAUACGGAGGGUGCGAGCGUUAAUCGGAAUUACUGGGCGUAAAGCGCGCGUAGGUGGCUUGAUAAGCCGGUUGUGAAAGCCCCGGGCUCAACCUGGGAACGGCAUCCGGAACUGUCAAGCUAGAGUGCAGGAGAGGAAGGUAGAAUUCCCGGUGUAGCGGUGAAAUGCGUAGAGAUCGGGAGGAAUACCAGUGGCGAAGGCGGCCUUCUGGACUGACACUGACACUGAGGUGCGAAAGCGUGGGUAGCAAACAGGAUUAGAUAACCCCGGUAGUC
rnacentral:rRNA from 1 species